rnacentral:tRNA from 1 species
GCCGGCUUAGCUCAGCUGGUAGAGCAGCGGUUUUGUAAACCGAAGGUCACGGGUUCGAUUCCUGUAGCCGGCA